rnacentral:rRNA from 1 species
GACGAACGCUGGCGGCGUGCUUAACACAUGCAAGUCGAACGGGCCUUGUCCCCUUUUUUUUUGGGGGUGGGGUUAGUGGCGAACGGGUGAGUAACACGUGAGUAACCUGCCCCUCACUUCUGGAUAACCGCUUGAAAGGGUGGCUAAUACGGGGUGUUCUGGCCUGCUCGCAUGGGUGGGUUUGGAAAGAUUCGACCGGUUUUGGUUGUUUCGGUGGGGGAUGGGCUCGCGGCCUAUCAGCUUGUUGGUGGGGUGAUGGCCUGCCAAGGCUUUGACGGGUAGCCGGCCUGAGAGGGUGGGCGGUCACACUGGGACUGAGACACGGCCCAGACUCCUACGGGAGGCAGCAGUGGGGAAUAUUGCACAAUGGGCGCAAGCCUGAUGCAACGACGCCGCGUGAGGGAUGGAGGCCUUCGGGUUGUGAACCUCUUUCGCCAGUGAAGAAGGUCCUGCUCUUUGUGGUGGGGUUGACGGUAGCUGGGUUAAUGAAGCGCCGGCUAACUACGUG